UACGUAGGGGGCUAGCGUUGUCCGGAUUUAUUGGGCGUAAAGAGCGUGUAGGCGGCCAGGUAGGUCUGCUGUGAAAACUCGAGGCUCAACCUCGAGACGUCGGCGGAAACCAUCUGGCUAGAGUCCGGAAGAGGAGAGUGGAAUUCCUGGUGUAGCGGUGAAAUGCGCAGAUAUCAUGAGGAAGACCAGUGGCGAAGGCGGGUCUCUGGACAGUUCCUGACACUGAGACACGAAGGCCAGGGGAGCAAACGGG
rnacentral:rRNA from 1 species